AACGAACGCUGGCGGCAUGCCUAACACAUGCAAGUCGAACGGGAUCUUCGGGUCUAGUGGCGCACGGGUGCGUAACGCGUGGGAAUCUGCCCUUUGGUUCGGAAUAACAGUUGGAAACGACUGCUAAUACCGGAUGAUGACGAAAGUCCAAAGAUUUAUCGCCAGAGGAUGAGCCCGCGUAGGAUUAGCUAGUUGGUGUGGUAAAGGCGCACCAAGGCGACGAUCCUUAGCUGGUCUGAGAGGAUGAUCAGCCACACUGGGACUGAGACACGGCCUAGACUCCUACGGGAGGCAGCAGUGGGGAAUAUUGGACAAUGGGCGAAAGCCUGAUCCAGCAAUGCCGCGUGAGUGAUGAAGGCCUUAGGGUUGUAAAGCUCUUUUACCCGGGAUGAUAAUGACAGUACCGGGAGAAUAAGCUCCGGCUAACUCCGUGCCAGCAGCCGCGGUAA
rnacentral:rRNA from 1 species